rnacentral:sRNA from 1 species
UCUUCUCUUUCCACCACAUACUCGUGAACGGCUUGACACCAGCAUCGUCUUCGGACGCAUAAUGGAGUCGCCGUUCAGUUUGACUUCGAGGAGCCAUCAAAUCCCCAUGAUGUCAAUUAUCUAGUCAACGGGUCUGAGAUCGAUUAAGCACCUGCAACCUCGAUGUUUUUGAGCCCCUCACGGGAGCUCGACGGAGAGACGGGUGGUCUUAAGUCACUAUAUUCCAAAUCUUUUCGCAGAUGCCGUCGGCGCAUGAUGUUAAAGACUCACCAUGGUGAAUACAGUU